AUUUUUGAAAAACUUGACAAGGGCGGGCAAUCAGCAAACCACCGCGUCGUUGCCGGAAGGUUUCGAAUUACAUGUGUCAAAGUCGCCAGACAUAUGCUUGCCACAAUAUGCUUGUUGUCUUGCGAUCACUAACCGCGAGUUAGAAGAACAAUUUAUCGAUAUUUUGCUGACAACGAAUUGUGUUUCUGCCUAAAUUAACAUAUAUGUACGUGAAGGAUGUACCACUUAAUUUAUAUCCUGGCAAUUGCUUUGUUUCUACUAUGUACUCAAAGAGUUUGCUGUGACAAUUCAG